GAUUAAGUUAUUAAGGGCGCACGGUGGAUGCCUUGGCACUAGAAGCCGAUGAAGGACGUUACUAACGACGAUAUGCUUUGGGGAGCUGUAAGUAAGCUUUGAUCCAGAGAUUUCCGAAUGGGGAAACCCAGCAUGAGUUAUGUCAUGUUAUCGAUAUGUGAAUACAUAGCAUAUCAGAAGGCACACCCGGAGAACUGAAACAUCUUAGUACCCGGAGGAAGAGAAAGAAAAUUCGAUUCCCUUAGUAGCGGCGAGCGAAACGGGAAGAGCCCAAACCAACAAGCUUGCUUGUUGGGGUUGUAGGACACUCUAUACGGAGUUACAAAGGACGACAUUAGACGAAUCAUCUGGAAAGAUGAAUCAAAGAAGGUAAUAAUCCUGUAGUCGAAAAUGUUGUCUCUCUUGAGUGGAUCCUGAGUACGACGGAGCACGUGAAAUUCCGUCGGAAUCUGGGAGGACCAUCUCCUAAGGCUAAAUACUCUCUAGUGACCGAUAGUGAACCAGUACCGUGAGGGAAAGGUGAAAAGCACCCCGGAAGGGGAGUGAAAUAGAACCUGAAACCGUGUGCUUACAAGUAGUCAGAGCCCGUUAAUGGGUGAUGGCGUGCCUUUUGUAGAAUGAACCGGCGAGUUACGAUUUGAUGCAAGGUUAAGCAGUAAAUGUGGAGCCGUAGCGAAAGCGAGUCUGAAUAGGGCGUUUAGUAUUUGGUCGUAGACCCGAAACCAGGUGAUCUACCCUUGGUCAGGUU
rnacentral:rRNA from 1 species